UACGAAGGCCCAACACCACCCUAACUAAAGCUGCAGAAGAGGCACUUUCUUUAAACCAGUCCUUUUGUGCUCUGGAGGUCAUCCCAUACUAUGUCCUUGCUGAAUCUUCUCAACUAGCAGCCGAGACCCUCACCCUCAACUAUUCAUGACUUCAUAGGGUAGCCUCUUUAUGGACAGUAUUCCCAAAUCUGGCCAAUCUGCAAAGGCACAGUUCCUAAAAACCUAUCCUUUCUCUCCUUUCUUCUGUCCGCUACCGUUUCCUAGGUUCCAACCAUCUAAUCAGAUUGAUGGCAAUUUUUCACUAAGAAUCUUGUACUGAUCCAUUCAUUCAACAAGUGUCCACUGAGCACCAACUAUGUGUCAGCAUUCUUCUAGGUGCUAGGGGUAUAUCGAUGGGUGGGAUCAGAUCAGGACGUUCACCUUCAUGAGAGGCUAACACAAUACAUAUGCGAAUUAACUGAUAAUAAAGAUAGAUGUAGGAAGUCCCCGACAUACGAACCUUCAAGUUACGAGCUUUCAAGGAUGCAGACCUGUGUUCCGUCGAUGUCCAGCGGGAUGAGACUGCCGCUCACCCUCCGGGUCUAUCACUGACGACUCUCAGCUGUAUCAUCUCCCGCUGCCUCUCUCGCCUCCACCCAGAAGCUCUUGCCUGUUCCCUCAGGGCCAUCACCUGGAUGCCGGCUGCUGUCCUGCACAACUGUACUUUUCAAGGCACCGCACUGUCAGAUUAAACACAUUUUCUUUAUUUCUAUGUUUGUUUUUAUGUAUUAUUUGUAUGGGAAGUAUUAUAAACCUAUUAUAGAACAGAAUGAUACGUUGAGUGCAUUAGUUGGGUACCUAGGCUAACACUGCUGGACUUACAAACAAACAGGAUUUAACAAAUGUGCUCUCGGAAUGGAACUCGCUUGUAUGCGGGGAACUUACUGUAUUGAGAUACAACUGACAAACCCCAUAUGUUCUUCCAUUUGUAAAGUGUACAAUUCACUGGUCUUUAGUAUAUUCAUAGAAUUAUGAAAUCAUCACCACAAUCAAGCCUAGAACAUUUGCAUCUCUCCAAAAAGAAACGCCAUGCCCCUCAGCAGCACUCCCCAAGCCUCAAGCUCCUAGCCUAGGCAACUCCUCCGUAGACUUGCCUAUUCCAGACACAUCAUAUAAAUGGCAUCAUGCAACACGUGCUCUUUUGUCACUGGCUUCUUUCACUUAGCAUAAUGUUUUUAAGGGUCGCUCUGGUUGUAGCAUAUACC
ensembl:lncRNA